ensembl:snRNA U6 U6 spliceosomal RNA
AUGCUUAGCACAUAUACUAAAAUUAGAACAAUGCAGAGAAGAUUAGCAUGGCCUCUGUGGAAGGAUGACACACAAAUUCAUGAUGCAUUCCAUAUUAAA